rnacentral:rRNA from 1 species
UGGGGAAUAUUUCGCAAUGGGGGAAACCCUGACGCAGCGACGCCGCGUGCGGGAUGAAGGCCUUCGGGUUUUAAACCGCUUUUGAUUGGGAGCAAGCUUUCGGGUGAGUGUACCUUUCGAAUAAGCGCCGGCUAACUACGUUCCAGCAGCCGCGGUAAUACGUAGGGCGCAAGCGUUAUCCGGAAUUAUUGGGCGUAAAGAGCUCGUAGGCGGUUUGUCACGUCUGCUGUGAAAGACCGGGGCUUAACUCCGGGGCUGCAGUGGGUACGGGCAGGCUAGAGUGCGGUAGGGGUAACAGGACUUCCUGGUGUAGCGGUGAAAUGCGCAGAUAUCAGGAGGAAACCGGAUGGCGAAGGCAGGUUACUGGGCCGUUACUAACGCUGAGGAGCGAAAGCAUGGGAAGCGAACAGG